rnacentral:misc_RNA from 1 species
AUGAGCGUCGAUAGAGGAUUAAACAUGCUGCACAAGCAUGGAAGCAAGUCGCACGGCGCCGUGUACAAGGGCAGAGGUGCUUUCUUGAAAUCAAUGUCGGAGUUUCCAGUGGACGGAAGCGAGAACGGGGACAUGCAUACCGUCAUGGAGAACUUCCAAAAGAAGAACAAUCUGGUGACGGGCAGGACGCACCACGUCACCCAUCAUCCGCAGGUCACCACCACAUCGUCGCAGAUGCUGACGACAAACCAGAGCCAACGCCAGAGUAGCAGCACCAGUACCAGCAGUAGUAGCAGCAGCAGGGUCAAGUCCUCGCAGAGGAUCCUCUCCACCUCGUCCUCGUCGAGUGAGAUGAAAGCGAGCUCCAUGAAGAGCGAUCUGACGGAACUCAAGCGCGGCAUUUCGGAGAUGAAGAACAUGUCGACCAACUUUUCGCAACGGCUGCGAAGCAGUAUGGAGAACCUCGUGGACAGAGAUGGCAAUGGACCGGAAGAAACCAAUCUCACGGAACCGUUGGUGACUUUUCCGGAUCCGGAUACGCCGCCACCUGUCAGCGACGCUGUCACUUUGACGGGCGGUUCUCCAUCCCAGUUGAGUUCUCUGAAUUCCCUGAACAAUCUUCAUCAUGGUAUAAAUCAGCCGAUAAACAUACCUAAUAUAGCAAAUCUACCUGCUGGUCAAGAAACUAUGAAGUUUGAACAGAAGAAAAUGACCAGCGCCUCUAAAACAAAGGUUGUCACGGAUGGAUUUAGCGCCGAGAAGGCGACGGCCAACAGCGCCGAGAUGAGGGCUUUGCAAGCUGGCGACGUCUCGUACAAGGAGCAGAGCGCCGCGACGGCGGCGAGAGCGCGUGUCGAGCUCGAUGGCGUCUCGGCAGAGAAGAGUGUCGCUGCCGCGAGGGAACAGAGAAGCUUGAAAGCUGGCGAUCUAUCGCAUCAGGAGAGCAACAAUAUGGCAGCGUCUACGAUAAAACUCCACAGCGAUUCGUUUACUUCUGAAAAGAAAGCGAUGGCGGCGCAGCAGCAACGACAAACAGUCACGUCGACCGGCAUCUUCAACCACGAGAAACACAUGGAGUCAAGCUCGCAGUCAAGCAUCACGAUCGCGUCCAAGUCUGGUGUGAGCGCAUCCAAGAUGAUCAGCGCAGCGAGUGCGGUGAAUCAACUAAUGAAUGGUAUGCGACCACCAACGGCCGAGGACGAGCUACUGUGCCUGCCACUAGACGAUCUCGACCUGCUGUGUUCCAAGUCAAAUCCGCAGGACGUGGACUGCGCGAUCACCAAGUACUGUAGCUUGCUCGACAAUUUCGUGGAGCGACUGAAGGCGAACGUCGAUGGCUGCAGCAAGAGCAGCAGCGUCAGUUGCGGCAACAAGGCACCCCAGUUGCUAAAUAGGGUGAACGAGAUCAUCCGAAAAGCUUGGGCGGUACCAACGCAUGGUCACGAAUUGGGCUAUACUCUGUGCAACACCCUGAGAAUGCGCGGCGGUCUCGAUCUCCUAAUGUCGAACUGCGUGGCGAACGAUCACGAGUUGCAGUUCUCGUCGGCGAGGCUGCUGGAACAAUGUCUGACUACGGAGAAUCGCGCUCACGUGGUGGAGAACGGCCUGGAGAAGGUGGUGAACGUGGCGUGCGUGUGCACGAAGAACGCCAAUUCGGUAGAUCACGCGCGCGUCGGCACUGGGAUCCUCGAGCACCUGUUCAAGCACAGCGAAGGCACGUGCAGUGAUGUGGUCCGGUUGGGCGGUCUGGAUGCGGUGCUGUUCGAGUGCCGAAAGAAUGACGUGGAGACGCUACGACAUUGUGCGGGAGCGCUCGCGAAUCUAUCAUUGUAUGGCGGCGCCGAGAAUCAGGAGGCGAUGAUCAAGCGGAAAGUACCGAUGUGGCUGUUUCCGCUCGCCUUCCACAACGACGAUAAUAUUAAGUACUAUGCCUGUCUGGCGAUCGCUGUAUUAGUCGCCAACAAGGAGAUCGAGGCGGCCGUGCUCAAGUCCGGUACCCUCGACCUCGUCGAGCCGUUUAUUACGUCGCACAACCCCUACGAGUUUGCCAAGUCGAACCUGGCGCACGCUCACGGCCAGAGCAAGAACUGGCUGGAGAGGCUCGUACCGGUUUUGAGUUCGAAACGAGAAGAGGCUCGCAAUCUAGCGGCCUUCCACUUUUGUAUGGAAGCGGGCAUCAAGAAGAGGCAGGGCAACACCGAGAUAUUCCGGACGAUCGGCGCGAUCGAGCCAUUAAAGAAGGUCGCCAGUUGUCCUAACGCAAUCGCGUCCAAAUAUGCGGCUCAGGCAUUAAGAUUGAUCGGUGAAGAAAUUCCGCACAAACUCAGCCAACAAGUACCCUUGUGGUCUACCGAGGACGUUCGCGAGUGGGUGAAGCAAAUCGGCUUUGCUGAGGUCGCGCCGAACUUUGUGGAGAGUCGAGUGGACGGCGAUCUGUUACUGCAGUUGACGGAGGAGAAUCUGCGAGAGGACAUUGGCCUGACAAACGGUAUCAUGCGCCGGAGAUUCGCUCGAGAGCUGCAGAAUCUGAAGAAGAUGGCCGACUAUAGCAGCCGUGACACUGGUAAUUUGAAUAGCUUCCUGCAAUCAAUCGGCCAAGAGUUUUCUAUUUAUACGUACAGCAUGUUAAACGCCGGCGUGGACAAGGAUUCGAUACGCAAUCUCUCGGAGGAUCAGUUACUGACCGAAUGUGGCAUCACCAAUAGCAUUCACCGACUUAGGAUACUCGAUGCCAUCAAGAACAUGCAGCACAAUCAAUUCAGCUCGUGCGAGUACGAAUCGCCAGACAAGUCGCUCGACGUGUUUGUCAGUUAUCGCAGAUCGAACGGCUCGCAGUUGGCGAGUCUAUUGAAAGUGCACCUGCAGCUGCGCGGUUUCUCGGUAUUCAUUGACGUUGAGAGACUCGAAGCCGGCAAGUUUGACAACAAUCUAUUGCAGAGCAUCAGACAGGCUAAACACUUCCUCCUUGUGCUCACGCCUUCAGCCUUGGAAAGAUGUGUACAGGACAGCGAGUGCAAGGAUUGGGUUCACAGGGAGAUUGUUGCUGCAUUGCAAUCGCAAUGUAACAUAAUCCCUAUCAUUGAUAACUUUCAAUGGCCGGAACCUGAGGAACUUCCCGAGGACAUGCGAGCGGUUUGUCACUUUAACGGUGUCCGCUGGAUUCACGACUACCAAGAUGCCUGCGUAGAUAAAUUAGAAAGGUUUAUGCGAGGCGAGAUACCUGCAAGAUCUGAGCUAUCCGCCGGAAUUCCGCGCAGCAUGGCGCCCAAGGACGUAACCCAGCCGAGCACACCGGGCAACACGAAUAUACGACAGCCGCCUAACUAUCAGCGGAUGCAUAGCAACGAGAGCAGGGGCAGCGAUAAAGAUUCCACGUGCGGACGAGACUGACUAGAUGGCCCGCCCACAGCCAUACCGAGCAGCCGAGAUUGCGAAUCGCUCUAUGACAAUCCAUGACUAGGCUUAAAAAGUCGUCAAGUCCAUCCCGUUGGUUGAUGGGCCUACCACCCACAUCGCCGCGGUUCAAAUUCAUGCACGCGCAUUCCGGAAAUGCCAGUGGUGUUUCGGCAGUACCUCGCAGACCGCCAAGGCAGCCUUCUUCGCCAUCGACGCG